rnacentral:lncRNA from 1 species
CACAGAUACUUAUCACUAGUUCCUCAUAUACCCGAACACGAAACGAGAUAUAUGAUGAGUACUUUGAAACAUUGUUACCCCUGAAUACGGAACGGUUAGGGCACGCAGAUUAUACUGUUUUUCCAUAUACCCAAACAUAGAACGGUUAUUUAUGAGUAAACAUUUAUUAUUUUGUCAAUACACUCGAAUACAAAACGAUUAUGUACGACCAUAUUGAAGCUUAGCAUAAUGUAAGUACUUUCAGAAUAACUUUUUUUUAUAAUGAGUGAUGUACACAUAUUAGAAUUACAUUUUGAAAACACAAAGCGAAAUUACACUUGUAUCGAAGUA